rnacentral:misc_RNA from 1 species
AUAAUGUUACAGCAAGAUAAGUUCAGGGAUAGUUGUCAAAAUUUAUCCCUCUUCUUCAAUUCUUCUGAUCUGCUGUUCGAGUAUUCUUUUAUUUUGUUUAGUUCUUUUUUUAUUUUUUUAUUUUAACAACAAUACAAAUUAGUUAAAGGUGUAUAGGUCACUUUCUUCAGUUUUUUGAUAUGCAUUUUGUUUGAUUUAUGAAGAUAAUUGAGUUGAUGACUUGAUGUGGUCUUCCUUGCAAUUA